rnacentral:tRNA from 1 species
GCUGCGCCGAAAGUAUGCGGGCCUUUCGAGCCCGUGACCCGGGUUCAAAUCCCGGCCGCGGCA